rnacentral:rRNA from 1 species
UAACCUGCCCAAGAGAUCGGGAUAACACCUGGAAACAGAUGCUAAUACCGGAUAACAACAGAUGAUGCCUAUCAACUGUUUAAAAGAUGGUUCUGCUAUCACUCUUGGAUAGACCUGCGGUGCAUUAGCUAGUUGGUAGGGUAACGGCCUACCAAGGCGAUGAUGCAUAGCCGAGUUGAGAGACUGAUCGGCCACAUUGGGACUGAGACACGGCCCAAACUCCUACGGGAGGCAGCAGUU